rnacentral:lncRNA from 1 species
CACAAGGCGGUGCACGAGCGGCUGGUGUUCGAGUUGUUUGGCAUCCGAGAGAAGGUUCGCGCCAACUUCGCUGCUGGAGAGUCACCCGGGGGUGUGCCGCGGCGGAUCAGGCGGGAGGAUGAGCCCAUCCUCUACGUUACACCCCUCAGGUGCCCAUCCCAUGCACCCUGACAUUUGGUCUGCAUGCAGUCAGGAGAGCCUCAGACAUCCCAUUCCCACAGCAUGCAGUGCCCACGCGCAUAGAUUGGGUUAUGGCGUUCACACUUCAGGAUGCUAUGUCUGCUCUUUGUUUGCGUGCAGUCAGACACUCCAUUCCCACAGCAUGCAGUGCGCACGCGAACUGUUGGAGCAGUCUUGAAGCCGCUUGCGAUCUGGCAAAGGUCCUCAAGUCCAGUCAGCGCUCCAGGGUGACUAACAUGUGAUUUUACUGCGUGUGCGUAGGGAGCUUCUCAAGGUCAUGCAGGGAUCGAGCAAGGAGGAGGACGCGGCGAUGCUGCGGCUGUGGGAGAGGCAGAUCGACAGUGAGACAAACACGCUGCAGAGGACCGUGGAACGCUACAAGGAGUCCGUAGCCGCC